GGCCUCCCAGUGCUUACCCCAGGCUGCGUUCUUACACUGACUAUACAGAAGGAGGCUGAGUAAACUCACCCCAUAUACACCUCAGCCCCAGCCCUUUCCCUGGUCUGCAGUGUGAAUGGGGACACAUGG